rnacentral:rRNA from 1 species
CAGUAGCCGCGGUAAUACGAAGGGGGCUAGCGUUGUUCGGAAUCACUGGGCGUAAAGGGUGCGUAGGCGGGCGACUCAGUCAGGGGUGAAAUCCCGAGGCUCAACCUCGGAACUGCCUUUGAUACUGGUUGUCUUGAGUCCGGAAGAGGUGAGUGGAACUGCGAGUGUAGAGGUGAAAUUCGUAGAUAUUCGCAAGAACACCGGUGGCGAAGGCGGCUCACUGGUCCGGAACUGACGCUGAGGCACGACAGCGUGGGGAGCAAACAGGAUUAGAGACCCGUGUAGUCCCUGUCUCUUAUAC